AUGCACCCCUUGAACCCACAGGCCAGCAGUGGCAGAGCACUCCUGCAGUGGACAGGAUCAGACCCCACCACAUCCCUCCAUGACCCAUUUAGGGAGGAGCACAUGGAAACCCUCACAUUACCAUCAUGUCCAAAGCGCUCCUAGGGAGCCAACAGGGAUUUUUCCCGUUAUCCCCCAUAUAUUCUCCAGCAGGAAAUCUUGUAGCAAAAUUAAAGCUCCCUUGCAACAUUUCCAGAGUUUUCCCACUUGGGCCCAGGCAGAAACAGUGCAGGAACAACCUUGCUCAGGGAAAGAUGAGUGUUGUCUCGUGGUUGGAGCACAGGGUUCGUGGUCAGGAGCUGUGGGUUCUCAUUCCAGCUUUGCCACUGAAUCAUUCUGAGAGCUUCGCUGGCCACUUUGUGUUAGAAGCAGUUAGUAAUUUUCCGUAGGGAUGAUUUUCUGAUGGAAAACACUUCUACAAAACCAAAAUCUGGGUGAAAAUCAACUUUCCAUUGGGAAUACCUUGCAUCUAGGCAGGGUGGGAAAGGACAUUAGACCCAAACUGAAUCAUUUGGUGUUUUCUCACAUUAAUCCGCAUGUUUUGCACUGAACAGAUAGAUCUUCUUAAGAAAUACCACCCUCCUGACUGGAAUUCCAAGUCAGCUCCAUGCACAGUGGGAGUGUGUGCUCUCAUGCUCUGCUCUGCUCCCCGGGAGGUCUGCACCUCCUCUUGUGGGAUGCCGAUUUCUCUCUUGUGAGACGUGCACAUCCCAGUCUGAGUCAGACCAGUCCAGGCAUGCGGGCACCUGGCCCAUGGGAACAAAUUGUAGUGUAAGGCUACCACCCUGACCAAGGAAGUACACCACAGAGAUUUUUCCACUUACAUGUGGCAUUUUCAAGAAUUUCUAUGCAGAAAACUUCAUCCAAACCAAAUCCAUGCACCAAAACAAUAGAAGCAGAACUUUGCACAGAGCCCCCGACCACAGAGGCUUACUGACUGCAGCUCCUACCAGCUCAGCUUUCAGAAUCCAUCCCAGCCAUUUGCAGCUUGUGCAGCAUGCAGAAACCCACACUGGUCCUCUGGGUUGAGCAGCAGUGUUCUGAUUACCCACUCAAUGUCCUUUACAUUGGGUAACAGGAAACCAGGGGAUGAAACAAGCUAUUACUUUCAGUGUCUAAGGUCCUGAAUCUGUAAGCUGUAGUUCUAGGGGGGUAUCUGCUCUUUGACAACACUUCCUAUAUUACGUUUCAGCCAGGAAGAUG